UACAGAGGGUGCGAGCGUUAAUCGGAAUGACUGGGCGUAAAGGGUGUGUAGGUGGUUUAAUAAGUUAGGUGUGAAAGUCCUGGGCUUAACCUGGGGAGGUCGCUUAAGACUGUUAAGCUAGAGUACUGUAGAGGAAGGUGGAAUUUCCGGUGUAGCAGUGAAAUGCGUAGAUAUCGGGAGGAACACCAGUGGCGAAGGCGGCGACCUGGACGGACACUGACGCUGAGACGCGAAAGCGUGGGGAGCGAUCCGG
rnacentral:rRNA from 1 species